GAUGAACGCUGGCGGCGUGCCUAAUACAUGCAAGUCGAGCGAACGGACGAGAAGCUUGCUUCUCUGAUGUUAGCGGCGGACGGGUGAGUAACACGUGGAUAACCUACCUAUAAGACUGGGAUAACUUCGGGAAACCGGAGCUAAUACCGGAUAAUAUUUUGAACCGCAUGGUUCAAAAGUGAAAGACGGUCUUGCUGUCACUUAUAGAUGGAUCCGCGCUGCAUUAGCUAGUUGGUAAGGUAACGGCUUACCAAGGCAACGAUGUAUAGCCGACCUGAGAGGGUGAUCGGCCACACUGGAACUGAGACACGGUCCAGACUCCUACGGGAGGCAGCAGUAGGGAAUCUUCCGCAAUGGGCGAAAGCCUGACGGAGCAACGCCGCGUGAGUGAUGAAGGUCUUCGGAUCGUAAAACUCUGUUAUUAGGGAAGAACAUAUGUGUAAGUAACUGUGCACACCUUGACGGUACCUAAUCAGAAAGCCACGGCUAACUACGUG
rnacentral:rRNA from 1 species